GGAGGGGCCUAACCCCAGGUGGAUGUCUUUGGAGGUGGGAGGGGCCUAUCCCCAGGUGCAUGUCCUUGGAGGUGGGAGGGGCCUAUCCCCAGGUGCAUGUCUUUGGAGGUGGGAGGGGCCUAUCCCCAGGUGCAUGUCUUUGGAGGUGGGAGGGGCCCAGCCCCAGGUGCAUGUCUUUGGAGGUGGGAGGGGCCUAUGCCCAGGUGCAUGUCUUUGGAGGUGGGAGGAAGCCGGAGUACCCGGAGGGAACCCACGCGGUCACGGAUAGAACAUGCAAACUCCACACAGAAAGAUCCCGAGCCUGGGAUUGAACCCAAGGCUGCAGGACCUUGGUAUUGUGAGGCAGACGCACUAACCACUCUGCCACCGUGAAGCCCUAAUCACAGACACUACAAAAAGUGUACAUCUACAUUUGGAAUCAAGACCAAAAGUGCUUACCUUUGACGAGAAUGUGAUCUUGAACCAAUGGUCUUAGAGAAAUCCAUACAGUGGUACCACAACCCAAACAUCCAGCAACUUGUUUUACGCCAUCCUGGUCCUGGCGUCCUUGGGAAAGACCCUUCACCCACCUUACCUCUAAGGGGGCGUGGUCAGCGCCUCGCCUGGAAGCUUCCGCCAUCGGUACUCUGGCCCCCGCUACUUCACGCAGCCUUCUUCUUGCGGAGAUGUCGGAGCUGGGGUGUGAACCAGGACUUGUCGUUGUUAGAACAAGCCCUGGUGCGCUUUGGAAUGAUGCCCGCCUCAUUGAACUGUACGUAAAAGGUCAGUGUCCGUAUACUCGUCCAGAUUGUCCAUGGCCGCUCCAAUUGCCUCCCAGUCUGUCGCGCAGCUCCCCCACAGCCUCAGCGGUGUAACACUUAAUGGUUCUCACAACAGGUUUAGCCAGUUUCUGUCUCUGUUUCCCUUUUACGCAAUGUGACAACUUCACUGCUUUUGGGGUUUGUUUGUAUACAUGCAUAUACAUUUCAUUUAAUCCAAUUGUGUCUGUAGUUAACUCGUAAUUAAUCACAAUUGAUCUAAUUGUGAUAGGCUCCAUCCUAUCUUGCCGAUUGUAUUGUACCAUAUGUCCCGGCAAGAAAUCUGCGUUCAAAAGACUCCGGCUUAUUAGUGAUUCCUAGAGCCCAAAAAAAGUCUGCGGGCUAUAG